CUACGGGUGGCUCCAGUGGGGAAUCUUAGACAAUGGGCGCAAGCCUGAUCUAGCCAUGCCGCGUGAGUGAUGAAGGCCUUAGGGUCGUAAAGCUCUUUCGCUGGGGAAGAUAAUGACGGUACCCAGUAAAGAAACCCCGGCUAACUCCGUGCCAGCAGCCGCGGUAAUACGGAGGGGGUUAGCGUUGUUCGGAAUUACUGGGCGUAAAGCGCGCGUAGGCGGAUUGGAAAGUUGGGGGUGAAAUCCCAGGGCUCAACCCUGGAACGGCCUUCAAAACUCCCAGUCUGGAGUUCGAGAGAGGUGAGUGGAAUUCCGAGUGUAGAGGUGAAAUUCGUAGAUAUUCGGAGGAACACCAGUGGCGAAGGCGGCUCACUGGCUCGAUACUGACGCUGAGGUGCGAAAGUGUGGGGAGCAAACAGGAUUAGAUACCCCCGUAGUC
rnacentral:rRNA from 1 species